AUUUUUGGUUUAUGAGUCUGUGACGAUCCGAUUAAAAAUUGCCUCAGGCAAAGUAGACCAAAGUGCAAUUGACCAAGUGUCGUAGGGUUCAGGCAAUAGGGUUCCCCCAGGCAAUCAAAUUUCACCAGGCAUUUUUGGUUUAUGAGUCUGUGACGAUCCGAUUAAAAAUUGCCUCAGGCAAAGUAGAGGGUUCCCCCAGGCAAUCAAAUUUCACCAGGCAUUUUUGGUUUAUGAGUCUGUGACGAUCCGAUUAAAAAUUGCCUCAGGCAAAGUAGACCAAAGUGCAAUUGACCAAGUGUCGUAGGGUUCAGGCAAUAGGGUUUUUGGUUUAUGAGUCUGUGACGAUCCGAUUAAAAAUUGCCUCAGGCAAAGUAGACCAAAGUGCAAUUGACCAAGUGUCGUAGGGUUCAGGCAAUAGGGUUCCCCCAGGCAAUCAAAUUUCACCAGGCAUUUUUGGUUUAUGAGUCUGUGACGAUCCGAUUAAAAAUCCCCCCCCCCCCCCCCCCAGUCAAUCAAAUUUACCCAAGGCAAUCAAAUAAUCGACUCAAGUAAAAUAUAUACUCAAGUAAAGGUAUGUAUAUAUAAACUACAAUUUAUAAAAAAGUUUAUAGUUCCCCCAACAGUGCUCUAAUAUUGUAUCCGUGUGUUCUAGUGAUCGGGUCAGCUAGAACUGUCACGUCUUCAAUCUCAGAAUUCGUGGCAUACUUGUGGUACUUGAUUUGAUCCUGUUUUACCAGGUUUUCAUACCAAGCCACGCAUACCUCUACGACAUGGAUUUUCCCCGUGGUUUUAUCAAAUAUAACCAAAUCCGGUCUAUCGUGACGUAGACCUUCGUAUCUCAUCGUCUUAUCAACCCCUUGUAGGGUUGCUCUCACAUUCCGUGUGAACAGGUGCACAUCAUAAUAUAUCUUUGCUGAGUCGUUUUCCAUAACCGCAGGGACUGGCUGGUUAUGCGCUAAUUGCUGCAAGCCGAAUCUUCGGCUGAACGUUGCAUGCAACCGAUUCACCACAUUAUUGUGGCGUUCCAGCAUGAGCCCAGUCCUAUAGACCGGGCAUCCUGAGAGAAUAUGCUGCACACUUUCGCGCGCUGCAUGACAUCUCCUGCACUUAACAUCUGCUUCAGUUUGUCCCUUUCGGAACAAUUCAGCUGCAUUUAGCGCACCUUCCUGUGCCGCUAUGCAAUUUCGAAAAACGAGUCUCCCAACUUUGGCCCUUUUUAGCCAAUGGAAGCUCAACACAUGAUCUAUUACUGGUGAAUUGAUCACUUGUCCAGCCAUAGGUAAACUUUUCCAAAUUCCCAAUUGCACAUCAUUAAAUUUGGUUUUCACCAAUUUCAUGAUGGCUCUUGCUCCUUUAGUAGCAUUUUCAUGGUAUUGUCCAUCAACGAACAAUCCUCUUUUUCCAUGAAAUUGCCCCGUUUCCUUCGGCCGCCGGUACCAUAAUUACUUCGGAAAGCUUCAUGGGCCUGAGUAUCAGUUUCCUGAACCCUUUUGAAACUGACUCUGAUAUGCCUUUUCUGGCACGAGAACCAAAUAAGAUGCGGGCGAUCUCUAGGUCGUUUUUGCAUUGGAGAUAACUCCAGCAAUAAACAACCCCCUCAUAAAGCACCUCAGUCAGGGACUUGAGUCCGAGUCCUCCUGACUUUGUUUCGACAUAAAGUCGUGAGCUACAUGAGCUAUAAAAUCUCCAUCCUUUAGCACCAUCAUUAGUUUGUUGCUUAAGCAACUUUCGUACCAGCUUAUCGAAUUCAGAGGCGAGGUCCCUUGCUUUUAACCAGCUCGGUCCCCCUGCGACAGUAUUCAUAUAGAGAAACCUACCUACCGGCAUCACGCACACACUAUAAGCCGUCCGGAAGGAUCCCCAUGUUUUCUCUGUCAAGAGGAGUUUCUCUAUUCGAGUCACCAUCUUCUCCUUAAUUCGAUUCCAGGCUUCCUCAAAGUCAACCUCGAAGCUUUCCUCAACGCCCAGAUAUGAAUAUGCUUUAUUGCCGAGAGUUGGCAAGUCAAUGACUGCCUCCUCUCCCUGGAUCUCUGCCGGAAUCCAGGCACACUUUCUUGUGUUAAAUUCAAGGCCGAUUGUUUUCGCUAUUCCUCUCGUUUUCUCUAUGAUUUCUCUUAGAUACUCGUUAGAGGUAGCGAAUCCUUUGAAAUCGUCCAUAUAGAACAAGUGGUUUAGACUCAGCGUAAUUUCCUGUCCAGGUAUGGAUACCUCGUAUUUUGGCAAUAAUUCAAGAUUAUGAGAAAUAGGCGCAAUUGCCAAACAAUAGAGUAAAGGAGACAUACUGUCACCUUGCAAUACUCCAUUUUUAACCCGUAGCUUCUUGCUUUGGGUUAUUCUCCCAUUCU